rnacentral:lncRNA from 1 species
GGGUGUCUACAAUUACGAUGCUAGAUCUAUUGCUAUAAAUGCUGCAAAAUAUAAAAAUGUUUAUUAUAAACUUAUGGCAUAUGUUAUUUUAGUAAUCAGUAAAGCAAAGUAUUAAAUUUCUUUUUAAAUAUUUCUAGUAAAGUAUGAGAAAUGUUUUGGUAAUAAGUCAAGGUGAAAAAUAAGAUUGAUUAGAAUUACAUUAUGUCUCACAAAUUGCCC